rnacentral:rRNA from 1 species
AUGCCCCGCCUCCUCGCCCCGCUCCCCUCCCGCUCGCGCCGCCGCCGCCUCCUCGCCAUUCUGUCGAACACCUUCUCGGCGUCCACCGCCUCACCACACCGCGCGCCGCCCCCGCCGCCGCCGCCGCUGCCGCAGCUCUCCCCGCUGCUCCCCCGGACCGCGGAGUCCUACGCCUCCAUCUCCGAGGCCGCGUCCGACAUCGCCGUCUCCUUCCGCGACUGGUUCCUCGCGCCCCGCGCCGCCGAGCCGCUCGCCGCCCUCGACUUGAUCUACGAGGCCCUCGCCUCGGACGACGCGGCGGCGCUCGAGGCGCUCCCGCUCUCGGAGGAGCUCGUCCUCUCGGUGCUCCGCCACCGCCCGCGGAGGCUCCCCGACGGCGACGCGGUUCUGCUGCUCCGCCUCAAGUUCUUCGACUGGUCGGGCCGCCGCCCGCACUACCUCCACACGCGCGCCGUCUACCAUGCCGUCUUCCGCCUGCUCUCGCGCGCGCGCCGCGCCUCUGUGGUGCUCGACUGGCUCCGCCUCUUCACCACCACCUCCGCGUCCACCGGGCAGCCGCGCUUCCAUCAGACGCUCGUCGUAGGCUACGCCGUCGCGGGCGACCCCCAGCGCGGGCUCAGCGUCCUCGGCCGCAUGCGCUUCCGCGGCAUGGACCUGGACGCCGUCUCCUCCCGCAUACUCCUCAACUCACUUGUCGAUGCGUCAUUCCACGACUUGGCCGACUCCUUCGCCCGCAACCUUGCUGCUAGUCCCGUUGCAACCUGCAUCCGCAUCAAGAGCCUGUGCCGCCGCGCCCGCUUCAGCGAUGCCACUGCACUACUUGACACCCUCCCUUUCGCCGAAGCAUCCAGAGGCCCCGCCGCUGGCUCUAUUGUCACUGAGUUCUGCCGGCGUGGGCGCUUUGACGAGGCAGCCCAGAUUGUUGGUAAAUUCUCGUCAUGUGAUGUGUACGGCGCGUGGAUCCAUGGUCUCAUUGAGGCUGGGAUGCUUGAUACUACAUUGCAGUUCCUUUCUGAUAAGAAGGAGGCUGAGGGAUAUAUCCCUGAUGGUCAGCGGUAUGAUAAGCUUGUGCACCGCCUUCUCCGCAAGAACAGACUUGGUGAAGUUUAUGAUUUGCUUGUGGAAAUGAUGGAGGAGGGCAUUGCUCCAGGCCGUUCAACCAUGAAUGCCGCGCUUUGCUUCUUUUGCAAAGCCGGGCUUGUGGAAGUUGCCAUGCAUUUGUAUAGAUCAAGAUUGGACCUUGGGAUUAACCCAAACAAGGAUGUCUACAACAAUCUGAUCAGGGCACUGUGCCGAGGUGGGGCCACAGAAGAGGCUUGUCUGGUACUGGAGCAGUCUAUGGAAGAUGGAUACUUUCCUGGCCGUCAGACAUUUGCAAUGUUCGCAAAUGUGCUGUGUCAGGAAGGGAAGCUAGAUAAGGUGAGGGAGCUGCUCGAUAGGGCUCUCAAGCAGGAGGCGUGGCCAAUGGACAAUGUAUUAGCCAAGUACCUUGUUGCAUUGUGCAAGAGUGGGAAUGUGGAUGAGGCAUGUAAAGUGCCUCAGAUAGCGAGCAGCAAGAACCCUGCGGGCCUAUAUCGCUACGAAUCAACUUACAAGAGCUUGAUCAGAGCAUUAAUAUUGAUUAGGAGGGUGGAUGUGCUCCCAAGGCUCAUACUCGAAAUGCAAGAUAUGGGACACAUCCCGACCCGAAGCCUCUACCAGUCGGUUGUUUGUGAAUUGUGUGAGCUGAGUAAGUAUGGUGAGGUUCUUGAGCUGCUGGAGAACCAGUUGCGGAGGAGUGAACUCCAACCCCGUGUGUGCUAUAACUACUUCAUCUCUGGGGCUGGACAUGCUAAGAAGGCUGAUGUGGCCAGGGAGGUGUACAGCCGGAUGGAGUCUGCAGGGAUUGAACCAUCUGUCGAAAGCAAUAUCCUUCUUCUCAUGAGUUAUCUGAGGAGUAAGCGUAUUGGUGACGCACUGACUUUUUUCAACUUCAUUCAUGAGAAGAAGCCACCUGGGACCAAGAUGUAUAACGUAUUUAUAUCUGGUCUAUGUGAAGCUCGGAAGCCAGAGCAGGCAAUGGUAUUUUGGAGGGAAGCAAGGGAUAAAGGAUUAAUACCGAGCAUUGACUGCUAUGAACAGCUUGUGCUCCUUUUGAGCUCUGUUCAAGAUUAUGACAGUGUUGUGAAGAUUAUUGAUGACUUCAGGGAAACAGGGCGCCCUGUUUCAGCGUUCUUGUGUAAUGUGCUUCUGUUGCACACACUGAGGGGCAGCGAUCUUCUCAAGGCUUGGGCGCGUUCAGAAGAUAAAUCCGGGUCUCUUGAAGCAAGCGCUGGAGAGAUCAAAGGUCGGGGUGCAGGACGAUUCUUGAUUGGCCAACUUAUCGAGUUGUUUGCAAGUGGUAUCAGGAACAGGAGUGACUUGGAGGUUUUAGAAGAGGGUCUAGAACAGUUCUUUCCUGUCGACAUUUAUACUUAUAACAUGCUGUUACGAGGAUUGAGCAUGGCAGGGAGGAUGGAUUCUGCCUGUAACAUGUUUGAAAGACUCUGCCAAAGGGGCUAUCUACCGAAUCGAUAUACUUUUGAUAUAAUGGUACAUGGCUUCUGCAAGCAUGGCAGCAGAAGUGAGGCUGAAAGGUGGAUGGAGGCAAUGUACCGAAACGGGUUCUAUCCCACUUGGUACACUAUGAGGUUAUACAACAAUACAUCCUUGCGACCGCAUGAUCAGAAGGCCAUUUCAUUUGUAUAA